rnacentral:lncRNA from 1 species
GCAACUAAGCCCAGAGAUGGAUCCCAAAACUGAAGAAUUGGUUUAAUUAAAUUGAAAGCUCUGGUGCUUGUGGUAAUUGCUAUGAAGGAAUCCAUAUCCCAUCAGAACCCUCUCCCCUGGAGUUUGCUCCCUCUACUUUCUCUGCAGCAGCCUGCUAGCCAGAGUCAAAGACUGUGUGCAUUUGAAAUCUCCAACCUUUUAAAACAUUACUGUGAAGUUGAAAGUUCCUGGUGUCUUUUGAUUAAACAUCGUGCUAGCAACAAUAAUAUUGACCACGUUUGAGACAGAAGAGCCACAAGAGGGAAUUAGCCUAAAUUCCUAAGCGCCCACCUGGAAAGGAUCCUCCUUGGAAGAUCUGUCAGAUCCAUAGUAAACUUUGAAUGAAAGAGAAAUAAAAUGUUAUGUGUUAAAGUU